rnacentral:snoRNA from 11 species
UAAGAAGGUGGCCUCUCGUGAUGACCCCCCUCUCCUGAAGCAGAUGGGUUGGUGAUGAUCGAACCCUCUAAGAAGUUGACUGAAGAGGCUGCUUGGCU